rnacentral:rRNA from 1 species
GACGAACGCUGGCGGCGUGCCUAAUACAUGCAAGUCGAACGGACAGGCCCUGCUCUUGCUCGUUGCUCGAUAGGCGAAGGGGUGAGUAACACGUGAGUAUCCUGCCCUUGACUUUGGGAUAUCUUUAGGAAACUCGGGCUAAUAUCGGAUAGGAGCUCCUGCUGCACAGUGUUGGUUGGUAAGUUACGGCGGUUGGGGAUGGUUUCGCGGCUUAUCAGCCUGUUGGUGGGGUAGUGGCUUUCCAAGGGUAUGACGGGUAGCCGGCCUGAGAGGGGGACCGGCGACAUGGGGCCUGAGGUAGGGACCAGUCUGGUACGGGAGGCAGCGGGGGAGAGUCUUGCGCAAUGGGCGGGAGCGAGAGGCAGCGGCGCCGCGUGCGGAAAGACGGCCUUCGGGUUGUAAACCGCUUUGGCCUGUGACGUGGCGUGAGUGACGGUAAUGGGUAAAAAAGCACCGGCUAACUACGUG